rnacentral:rRNA from 1 species
UAUUAGAGUUUGAUCAUGGCUCAGAUUGAACGCUGGCGGCAUGCCUUACACAUGCAAGUCGAACGGCAGCACGGGGGUAACCCUGGUGGCGAGUGGCGAACGGGUGAGUAAUACAUCGGAACGUGUCCUAGAGUGGGGGAUAGCCCGGCGAAAGCCGGAUUAAUACCGCAUACGCUCGAGAGAGGAAAGCGGGGGAUCUUCGGACCUCGCGCUCAAGGGGCGGCCGAUGGCGGAUUAGCUAGUUGGUAGGGUAAAGGCCUACCAAGGCGACGAUCCGUAGCUGGUCUGAGAGGACGACCAGCCACACUGGGACUGAGACACGGCCCAGACUCCUACGGGAGGCAGCAGUGGGGAAUUUUGGACAAUGGGGGCAACCCUGAUCCAGCAAUGCCGCGUGUGUGAAGAAGGCCUUCGGGUUGUAAAGCACUUUUGUCCGGAAAGAAAUCCUCUGGGUUAAUACCUCGGGGGGAUGACGGUACCGGAAGAAUAAGCACCGGCUAACUACGUGCCAGCAGCCGCGGUAAUACGUAGGGUGCGAGCGUUAAUCGGAAUUACUGGGCGUAAAGCGUGCGCAGGCGGUUUGCUAAGACCGAUGUGAAAUCCCCGGGCUUAACCUGGGAACUGCAUUGGUGACUGGCAAGCUAGAGA